rnacentral:rRNA from 1 species
AUCUACGGCCAUACCACCCUGAACGUGCCCCAUCUCGUCUGAUCUCAGAAGCUAAGCAGGGUCGGGCCUGGUUAGUACUUGGACGGGAGAAGUUGUUAGGUUCCCAGCUGGCUCCAGCAU